rnacentral:lncRNA from 1 species
AUCAGUAAUUAUUAAUAUGAACUACUUUUGUUUGUUUUUUUGGAUAACUUACUAUGAACUUUCUUUGUUAACUUGCGUCUCACUCCUCCUAUUUUCCAAUCGACAUGGUGGUGCAAAUCGAGCAGAGGAAUUUCCACCACCAUCAUCAAAAUUUAGUUGAUAGUUUUCUAAGUCAUACUGAAAUUGAUUUCCAACUUUCUUGUUGGAGACAAAUGAUGUCUUCAAACCCUCCUUAAUUUUGGAGAAGAACCACUUUCCCUGCUUAUUUGAUUUAUUUCCUUGCUUGGUUUCUUCCUUUGAUUUUGAUAAACUUUCAGCCAUGUCAAACUUACGAGUGUGGUUAUCAUGCAUAAAGAAUCCUUAUGCACCCUGCAUAAAUCCCAGCCCAUUAACCAUUUUGUAGUGGAAAUGGUUUCUGUGAGUUGUACUCCAAACCCAUUUUGCUGUGGAAAUGGUUUCUGUGAGUUGUACUCCAAAACCAUUAGAUGUACUUAAUGGUUUUCUUUGAU